GAUGAACGCUGGCGGCGUGCCUAAUACAUGCAAGUCGAGCGGACCUUUUAGAAGCUUGCUCCUUAGACGUUAGCGGCGGACGGGUGAGUAACACGUGGGUAACCUACCUGUAAGACUGGGAUAACUCCGGGAAACCGGGGCUAAUACCAGAUAAUAUUUUCAUCCGCAUUGUGCUAAAGUGAAAGGUGGUUUUGCCUUCCAUUAUAGGUUGGCCCGCCCCGGAUUGGCUUGUUUGGCAGGGAACGGCCUACCCAGGCAACGAUCCGUAGCCGACCGGAGAGGGUGAUCGGCCACACUGGAACGGGGACACGCUCCAGACUCCUAGGGGAGGCAGCAGAGGGGAUCUUUCGGCAAUGGGGGAAAGCUUGACGAAGCAACGCCGCGUGGGUGAGAAAGGUCUCGGGAUCGUAAAACCCUGUGACGAGGGAAAAAAAAAGGCGUAAGAAAAGGGCGGCGUCUUGACGGUACCUAACCAGAAAGCCACGGCUAACUACGUG
rnacentral:rRNA from 1 species